rnacentral:sRNA from 1 species
UGGUCUGGGAAUCCAGUUUUCCCUAGUAAUUAUGUAUUAUUAGCUAGUGGCUGAUUUACUACUUUGAACCAUGAGGAACCCCUUUCUUUUUUUUUUAUCUCAAACUACAUUUUUUUUCAAAACACCUACUAUGCAUGGCUUUUGGAUUGUUUCUUUCACUGGAAGAUGGGGCAUGGUGGCAUAGAGGUAAAGGGCUUGGCUUCUGAAUUAAAGGGUUCAGGUUUGAAUCUCAUUGAAGACUGGGAUUUUUAAUUUUGGGAUUUUAAAGGCACCCCUGAGUUCACCCAACUCUAAUUGGUACCUGAUUUUAGUUAGAGAAAGUAAAGUGAUUGGUCAUUGCUCUGGCUUCAUGACACCCUCAUAAACAUAUGACCUUUACAUCAUCUGCCCUCAAAGGGGUACCUUUACUUUAUUUCACUUUCCCUAAAAGACUUGUGUUGAAAGUCCAAUUGCUAUACACAGUGGAAUUUCAGGCAAUUUUCUUUUAUAUUUAACAAUCUAAGGUUUGGAUUGAGAGAUAUAGUUGACUGAAAUGUUAGAGGAUGUCUUCUAUUUGAUGCUGUCUAUUUCAGAGAUGUAAGAUGGGGAGUGAGAGAUAUAGUUGACCUGGAGAAAUUAGCUCAAGAAAAUGGUUUAAAAUUGGAGAAAAUGGUUGACAUGCCAGCUAAUAAUAAAAGUGUGAUAUUUAGAAAAUACACCAGCUGAAGAUAUUCUUAUAAAAUAUAUUUAGAUACAAUAUGUAGCGUUUUCAUUGCAUAGAAAAAAGAAAUGAUUGUUAUAGUGUUAACCUUAUUUGGUUCACAACUAAUAGAUUAUUUGUUGCUGGUACUAACAUAUUUUACACCUGCAUUCAAGUAGUUGGUUGGGAAUGACUUUGAUGAGAAAAAACUGGAUGCUAUUUCUGCAAAUUUGAAGAGAAAAAAAUCAAAGUCCAAGACACACUUAUUUACUGCUUGAACUAUUAAAUGUACCCUUACAAAAGGAGAAAAUAAUAUAUUUUUUAAAAAAGCUCCUUUUUUAAAAAAAAUUAAAAUACAAAAUGACCAUUUUUGUAGAUAAAGGGGCUACUAAAAAAUGUACACAAUCCUUUGAAAUGAAAUCAAAAGUUCAUGUGUGUGACAAUUUAAUCUAGCUUUCUUUUUUUUUAAUUCUUAGAAUGAUAUUUCCAACUGAUAACAUAUAUUUUAAAUAUUUUAAUAAAAACAAUAUCAACCUAAAGUUAGUUGAAGUUUGAGGAUGAAUGAUCUGUAUUUGUUUGAGCUAUGUCAAAAUGUCUGCAAGAAUAUGUUAAUAGAUGUGGUGGUAUAGUUUUUGUCAAUUACACUCCCAUGACAUUGGAGUUAAGCAAACAAGUUGCCAAAUUUUGUUUAAUGUCAUAUAGUUUUUAUAAUGAAGUUAUUAAAAUAUUACAAUGUUACUAUAUUUUUUUUGCAAUGCUUAUUUUCAUCAUGUAUAAGUUACCCUUUGUUUUGUUUUUUCUCAGUUAUCCUAAUUUUAAAUUUAGCAGAGAUUUCUUCCAAGUAAUUCUAACUCAUGAAAACAUCAGCCACAAAAUGUUAUACUGCUGAGCCAGUUUGAGUUUUAAUCAUUACACAUCAACCAAAAAUGUUAAAAUAAUGUUAUUAAAAUCUCAA